AAUCCCUACAUGAUCAAAUCCAUAGGUUUUUUAUUACAUUUUAUCUACAUCCUCAACUUUUUCCCAUUUUCCCCUCUGUUAAAGACACCUUUAAACCUCUUAAAUGUCCUCGUCCCUACUCCUAAGACUUUUUGAACUUAUGAGCCCAUUUAAGGUGCUUUAUGAAUGACUUGUAGCAUCAAGUAUAGUGUCAAGUCAAUUCAGCUUCUGGGAUAUCGAUCUGGUCAACUUAGUGCUGUUCUUUCGUGCCCACCUCUCUAGAGUGACUUACAGGUCCACUAGAGGGGCAUCAUGAAGACAGCACCUACUGUAAUACAGGAAUGGUUUUACAGCAUUACUGUGCUAAAAGACUACAGAGAAGUGAGAAAACACCAAUUUUCUGAGAAAGUAAAAAGGAAUCUUUGCAGGAAGGACUUUGCAUGUUGUUUGGAAUUGGGUCUACACACUUCUUCUCUGCUUCUACACAAACAUAUUUGCCCGAGAGACAUCAGGGGAGUGAAAGACCUGCGAAAGGCCAUUACCACAGUGCAGUGUAGCCCAUCAGCGAAACCAGACCCUGGAGACACCCACACUGGAGCUGACAAAUAAAUCAGGAGGAUUCUGUGACCAAAUGCUAUCAGGCAUCAGAUUCCAGUUCAUGGCUGACAGGGAUGGAACACCAUGGGAUCUUCCUCUGCUGAAUCACACGCACCUCGUGGUUUGGCAUGUUCAGCUUUCUGACGUGCUUUGUUGAUAACAGUAGUUAUUCGAGUUACUGUGGGCUUUCAGUCAGCUCAAACCGUGCCCCAUUCUCAUCUGACCUUUCUCAUAAAGGAGGUGUUUCUGCCAACAGAACUGCAUCUCACUGGUACCAUUCUGUGUAGUGUGAACAUCUGAUGUUUGACGAACAUUGUCCUGUAUCAUUUCACGAUGCCACAUUAUUGACGGACUGUAAAAUUGCAUCAAUUUACAUAGAGAUUCAUGUGUUUUUACUAAAGUGGCCUGUGAGUUUCAGGAAAAUGAAUUGAGUUAGGAUGAAUGGAUGGGAUGUUACCGUUUGAUUCCCACUUCAGGCCCUUCCUCUGGGUACUUUGGAUUCCUUUGCCACUUUAUAAACAUGCAUUAGGUUGAUUAACAUCUCUAAAUUGACUGUUUGUGUGAGCAUGUGUGUGAUUGUGCCCUGUGAUGAGUUUGCACCUCAUCCCGGGUGUCCAGCAUUCCCCCCCCCCCCCCCCCCUUAUGCACUGUGUAGGAUAGGAGAAUGGACAGAAAAUGGAUGGCUCUAAUUUGGAACUAAAUAUGAUUUAUAUGACAUGUUUGUACUAUUAAUUAUUAUAUUGACACCAAAAGUGAGGUUUAGAUUAUAUCUGAAAAAUAUUUAAAAAUGAUAUUUUUUUAUCCUUUUUCAUUAAUCUGUAUAAAACUCUAAAAUGGGAAAAUGAAAUGCAAGUCUUAAAUCUAUUUAUUUGUUUAUUUAUUUAUUAUAAGUUUAUUACAAAAAUGUGAGAGAGAUGGAGUUAAAAGAGCCAUUACAGAUGCCACGGAGCACUUUUAGCAUCUCACAAGGUUAAUGAGAACAGUCUUCAGUGACUGAAAUGCUCAAGUAGCUUUUAUUGUAUCAUAAUAAUGAAUGAAUGGUAUGGAGAUAAAAUAAAAUAAAUGAACUCCGAAGCCAUGAGUAAAACGUAUGUGCCAGGCACAACUAUUAAAAUGGAAAGAAAGCAGAAAGAAAUAUAUCAGCGGCUUCCUCUACCUUCUUUAAGUGGCGUCUCUUUUUUUUUCGAAAAAAUAUUUGCCUGCAGGUCGCUGCUCUGUCUUUUAAAGGUUUAAACGUUUUUGCUACAGAACAUUAAAUAUCUCUCAGCAUUAUAGGUUUUGAAAUGUAUUAGAAGCAGAUGAUUUUAUGGAGCACACUAUCCUUAGUGUUCAUCUCCAGCCGUUCUAUGAACUGCAAACGUCCAGUGUGGAAGACGACGCCGUAGCUGUGGUCAGUCAUUUUGAGCUUGGGCUGUCAGAAUCAUGUAAGAGUGUUUGGUUAAUAUCGCCUGUGGCUUAUAUGUGUCGUCUUCCUCUUCCAUAGUGCCACCAUGCUGAGUUAGUCACUUAUGACUAAGUGAUGGGACUGUGUGUGUGUGUGUGUGAGAGAGAGAGAGGCCAUGUCAUCUGUGUAGAGUGUUGUCUUACAUCAAUGUGUCCGCUCGGCAGCCUGAGGGCUUAGCGGCUGAUUACUUUCUGAGUGCACAUGCCUCAAACGCUGCAUCAAGUUGUCAGGAACUCUUUUCACGUCCGCCAUUUCUCUUCCACCCUUUCUGAGACAAUAAUAUUCUAACUGCAGCAGAAUGAAGUGUGGCUGUGUGAGUUGGCCUGCCAAGACAGAGCAAAAAAAAAAGAAAUAAAUAAUAGAAGAAAGACCACAUUCCCUCUUCUUACUUUGUUAUUUAUCCUUUCAGCACAUCA